GUGGUGGUGGAGGAGAGAGGCUGCGGGGAGGGUCGGUGAGUCGUCGUCAGUGGAGAGACAGGAAACAGUGCCUAGAGUGGUGCCGGAGCCCGUUGAGAUGGCGCUGGAUGACUUGCGACGAAAGAUACCAGAGCCGAAACAGAUGCAUCACUUGAAGACAGCCCCGCAGAAUGGCCCCCAAAACAACAAUGGCCGGACAUAUUAGUAGUGCGGGGUUGCCAGUCAUCUAGCCCCACCCAGCCCUGCCUUUCCGAGCCUUGCCAAGCCCCUGACCCCUGCCCCGGUCCGCCAUGCAAGCCCCACCUAGUUACCCCAGUGGGAGGGCCCUGCGUCGGCGUCUCCACUGCCGCCCUUCCGCCUGUCUCGACACAGAGAGAAACUUUUUGUCUGGGCUGGUGAACGUGGCGGUGGUGGUGGUGGUGUGUGUGGCAGUGUUUGAGCCAAGGUGGUUCUGGAUGGAGGGCGGCGGAUGCUCCACAAAUAGUCUGAGCCUCUACAUCUUCUUCCUCGCUGGGCAGUUUGUCCGGGUCAACACUGGCGCCUCCUCCUCCACCUUCUACCCUGCUCCUGGUGAUGCGCCCUCCUCCUCCGCCUCCUCUUCCUCCUCUGACGCCAGUGCCUCCUAUAUCUACUACAUUGAUGGCCAAGAGCUGGAGCUGUGUGUGACGCCCCACAUCGUGUCGCUGCUGCAGGUGGUGAUUGGCCUGGUGUUCCUGAUGGUGUGUGGUGCCGCGGUGCAACUGACGCUGGAUUUGGCUGGGUCUGCUGGGAAGGCGGCACGGUGUCUUAGGAGGAAUGCCUUACCGAGCAUUGUGGCAGUGUGGGCAUGUGUGGCCAGCGUGGGUGUGUGUUACCGCCUGACAGUACUGCUGGAGGCGUUACAGGAAGCUACCAAGCCACUACACGGCCUCUCCGCUAUGGACAGAGUGCAGGUUAAAUUUGAUGUGGGAUUCUACCUUCUGGUGCUUGGAGGUGGCUUAUCGGUGCUGGCAGUGGGGUGUAGCUGGCUUCGUCCUGCACACAUCUUCCAGCUCCCAGACAGUGCACCCCUUAUGGAAGACUGUGGAUUGGACGGCCUGGACUCCCUCGGUGGGCCUGGAAGUUCUCCUGGUUACCCCUGCCUAAUGGACCGUGAACCCCCACCACCACUAGAAGGCAACCCCCCACCCCCAUACACCCCCUAGAGUGCCAUUGGGGAAGUGCUGGGCCAGAGGAAGCAUGAAAACAGCAUUUGAGGCAAGGAGUGAGUGCCUGUCCUCUUAGUUGGCACUCUGCUGGCCACACAUCGCUUGUCACAUCACAUCAUAGCCGUGGUCCCAGUAAGCCUUCCUGGAGUACCAUCACCAAGUCGCCCUGUCACCAAGUCGCACAUCACUGCACCUCACCAAGGGAUAGGAUAGCUACCCUUCGUCUGCCUCAGUGGCUCAUCACCGCAUGCCUCAGAUUUCAACAGUGCAAGGUCCUCACAGCCAGCCUCUCACUCACUGCCUUUUACUCAUUUUCUCUCAGUUAUUCCUUAAGUAUAUGUCACGUUCAGUUAAGUUAGGCAAAUUAUUCAAGUUUUUGCUCUUUCCAGUCAAUUAUUCACUGUGGUUUUCAUUUUUUGGCUAUUUUUUUUUCCUUAUAUUACGAGUCAUUUUGUCUCGGUUUUUUUUCUUAAGUGUAUGUCACGUUCAGUUAAGUUAGGCAAAUUAUUCAAGUUUUUGCUAUUUCCGGUCAAUUUCAUUUUUCACAUUUCGACUAAUUUUUUUCUCAGUUUUUCGUUAUGUUGUGAGAUUAAGCAAAUUUUUCGAGUUUUUGCUCUUUCCGGUCAAUCAUUCACUGUGAUUUAAAUUUUUUGGCUUCAUUUUUCACAUUAUGACUCAUUUUCUUUCAGUUCAGUUACAUUAAGUCAGUAAUUGGAGGGGUUCUAAAUAUUUCUGGCCAAUCGUUCACUGCAGGUUUAAUUUUAUGGCUUAUCACUCAUUUUUACAUCAGUUUUUGUUCAAGUAUAGGUCACAUUCAAUUAAAUUAAACAAAAUAUUCAAAUUUUUGCUUUUUCUGGCCAAUCAUUCACUGCAGUUUUAAUUUUAUAUCUUAUUACUCAUUUUUACCCCAGUUUUUCCUCAAUCAUUGGUCACGUGCAACAAUAUUAUGCAAGUUAUUGGGGUUCUUCUAUUUCCAGCCCCUCAUUCACUGCUGUUUCAAUUCUACACCUUAUUUUGGCUUUGUUUUUCCCAUUAAGUAUUGUUCAAGUGCAGGCAAGUUAGGCUAAAGUUAGGUCUUGCUAUUCACAGGGAUUAAGUGUCUUGAGUUAACAUUCUUGCCUCAAAAAGUGAUAAAUUGACUUAGUUUCUUCCACUCCUACAUCCACUUAGCAUUGCCAGUGUUGGAAUGUCCCACUGUGAACUAUUUAUUGUCUUGACUCACACCAAAGCUACCACUGUCACUAACUCUCUGACUGGGGUGUGUUUGGGAGGAGUUGAUCUCUUCAGUACCAGGACACACUUUCAUAUUCAUUCUGGUGACUAUUUGGCAAUUUCACACAGCUUCAGAAACUUAUAUUGGGAUUAGAAUUGUAAAGACUCUGGCCAUUAAUCUUCUGACGUCCAUAGAUCCUUCUUAAUGCAAAUAAAAUCAUCUAUGAGUAAUCACACUUAAAAAUCAUGGUAAAAAUGUGUCUCAGUACUGGAGGGUUAGAUCAAGAUGGCAUUUUACAGUAGGCGACUCACACUAGCAAGAUGGCAGUGUAGGAUAGUGUAGGAUGAGUGUAUAGUGAUAGGGGGCAGAUGAGGGCCUUUGCACCUUGGCACCAUCACAUCACACCCAGUCACCCAAGCUCUGGCUAUCACCUCACAUUUCCUCCUUUAGUCAGAGCUUGAGAAGAUGAACAUUUUCCCCUCGGUUGUGCCUCCAUGUUCCUCUUCGUAGCUACUUAGGCCUUGAGCAUAGACCUAUUUUUGUGAGCUGAGUGAUAGGACAAUUGAGUAAGUGAUAGAAGGGAAGGGUCUCGGUGGAAGUGUCAUCAAUGCAGUGCUGCUCGACCAGUGCCGCCUGCUGUCACUGCUGCUUAUGUUUGAGACAUCUGGUGUGCACUUCAAUCAUGCAGGUUCAGUGUGAGCAGGCAAACGUUGAAGCGAGCAGGCACGUUUUGUAAUUCCGCGUAUCUGUGGGAACAUUGCCGGACACUUCCACCUUCUAAUAGUCAAAAAAAAAGAUGUUUGUUGCCUUGAAUUCUAGUAUGUAACUUUGUGUGUAAAAUGUGGUGGAUUCUCUACCUUAUAAUGCCUUGCAGACCAUUUCAUUAUGCACAUUGUAAUCUUAAAACCUUUGGGAAGUACAGCUCUGCCUUGUAACAAUCAGUAACACAAGGGAAGGAAGCCACAGGUCCCAUUAUGCUGUGGCUUUGAGGGUCUCGAGAAUCAGCUAUGUAAACGGAGUGCCUCGCUGCUGUGAAUGUGCAUUAGUCUCCAGCAGCAUGCAAAUCAGUGUGGCUUGUCUUGCAGCAUCUCCAUGUUAACCCACCACUCAGCUAUAUGGAGGCUUGAGUCAGUGUUCAGCUGGCAUGGCUCUGCGUGUUCAGUACCCAAGCAACAUGAAGCACUUGUCGCCUCUACUCAGAUUCUAUGUUCGAUUGGAAUGUGGUAUGUUUGCGUGUGUGUGUGUGUGACAAGUCCCUACUCUUGUCAAUUUCUCAGUCCUGUUUUUCUUCCUCCUCAUUGGAAAACAUGGAAAAUUAUACAAAGAUGAAAUACUGACUUCCAGAUUUAAGCUUUACUCUGAAACACUUCUGGCUGCACCUCCACUACUCCACUACUUUCAUAAGGCUCUAGUUGAAGUAAUACAGGUUUUCAAGAGUGUUUUUUACAGUUGAGUGACAGAUUUACAAGAUUCCUACGCUGUCAGCAGGAGAAACACUUGAGAACCCAGCUGAUCAUGUGUCUGGCCUUGCAGGAUAGUAGUGGUGAGGGCAGAGGGUUUCAUGGUACAGCUUGAUGGAUUAUAAUGCUUAAUUCAUUGUCACUUCAAGAUAUGAGAGUUAGGAAUGAGUAACAAGAUUCGGGUGCUAUAAAUCAGUUUGUUUAUUGCACUGUUGAUUGUCUCUAUUUCAAGAUCUGAGGGUAAAGGAAUGUAACGUCUUUCAAUCUUCAUUCUCUCUGUUCCAAGAUUUGAGUUAGGAAUGAGUAAAAAGAUUUGUGUGUUAUGAAUUAUCUUACUUAAUUUUACUGUUGCUUCUCUGUGUUUCAAGAUUGAUGGUAAAGGAAUGUAGCGUCUUUCAAUCUUCAUUCUCUUUGUUCCAAGAUUUGAGUUUGGAAUAUAACAAGAUCUGUGUGUUAUGAACCAGUUUAGUUAAUUUCACUGUUGGUUCUCUGUGUUUCAAGAUCUGAGGGUAAAGGAAUAUAGCUUCUUUCAACCUUCAUUCUCUAUUCCAAGGUCUGAGUUAGGAAUGAGUAACAAGACCUGUAUGUUAUGAAUCAGUUUGUUUAUUUCACUAUUGGUUCUUUCAACUUUCAUUCUCUCUGUUCCAAGAUUUGAGUUUGGAAUGUAAUAAGAUCUGUGUGUUAUGAAUCAGUUUAGUUAAUUUCACUGUUGCUUCUGUAUCAAGAUCUGAGGGUAAAGGAAUAUAGCUUCUUUCAAUCUUCAUUCUCUUAGUUCCAAGAUCUGAGAGUUAGGAAUGAGUGACAAGAUCUGACAGUUAGGAAUUAAUUUAGUUUAUUUUGCUGUUCAUUCUUAGUUUCACGAUUUGAGUUAGGAAUAGUAGCAAGAUCUGAGGAUUAUGAAUCAAUUUUGUUUAUUUUUACUGUUGAUUCUCUAUUUUGAGAUCAAAGGGUUAGGAAUCAAGUUAGCUUAUUUCUCUUCUCAUUCUCUCCACCUCACAAUCUAAGAAUUUAUUUUUACUGUUGAUUCUCUAUUUCAAGAUCAAAGGGUUAGGAGUCAGGUUAGCUUAUUUAACUGCCCAUUCUCUCCACCUUAUGAUCUGAGUAAGUGUAGCAAGGUCUGAGAGUUGGGAAGGAGUAUGACAUUUCACUGCUCAUUUCCUGUGUUUCAAGAUCUAAGUUGGGAAUUGAGUUAGCUUAUUUCACUGUCCAUUCUCUCCACCUUAUGAUCUGAGAGUUAAGUGUAGCAAGAUCUGAGAGUUAGGAUGGAGUAUGACUAAUUUCACUUCUUUUUUCUUUACUUUACGAUCUGAGUGUUAGGUAUGAUUAGUGUGAAUUUGGUGAUCUUCCUGUGUGACCCGAUGACAGUGCCUGGCUGGUGAGGAGAGGGAGCGGAUGAAGGGUUUUGUGAGGUCGCAAGUCAGGUCAAGCUUGGUGGAUGUGCUUGUCCUUGUGACCUUGCAGUUUGUUGUGUUUUCUGAUGUUUAUUGACAUGUUUAUUAGUUUAAGUCUAAUGAUUAGUGAGUGUUAUUGUACUUCAAAUGUUUUCUUUGUACAUACAGUAUUAUAUAUAUAUUAUGUGAUUUAUAUAGCAAGAUGAGAGGCUACAGUAUUUAUUUUGUGAUUCUGCUUUAUGUUGUGAUUGUUUACAUUCCAUUGUGUUCUCAUUAUACUGUGUUGAGUGAAUGAGAAUGAGUGACUUUCCACCUACACGGCACUCACUCCACCACUCCAGGGAGGCUGUGGCUGCAGCUGUCACCCAUGCUGCACACCUCUGCCACCCCAGUGUGUACCACCAGAGCCAUACCACCACCCCACUUUCUCACCCACUGGUUGGCCUAAGUGUUCCUGUCUUCACCAGUGAUUUGCAUACACAUGUCAUGGCUCCAGGCCUGGCAAUACACACAUUUGUAAGUCUGGAGACAUACAACAGUCCCAACACAAUGCCUUGAAGGAUGUGGUGACUUGAAGCAAAGUCUCACAAAUGAGUUCAAUGGUGUUACUUAAUUCAGAGGUGGUGUUCACUGUUGCUGGAGUGUGGCUUUGUGGCGCACACACAGUCAGGGCUUGGCUGCAGCAGCGGCCUCUUGUGACACACACACACCACACUGUUUGGAGUGUGUGUGUCAGAGAGAACCACUGGUGUUGUGUCCCACUCCUGGUGCCUCUCGUGUGUGUGUGUGUGUGUGUGUGUGUGUGUGUGUGUGUGUGUGUGUGUGUGUGUGAGAGGGGCAGGCUGCCAGUACUGCCACACAGUGUUGUGGGGGAGGAGCACACUUCUCCUGCUGCUGCUGCUGCUGCAGGUCUUGUUAGUCAGAGUACCUUGUGAUACAAUCUUGCUUAGACAUAUUUUCUCUAACAAUAAAAGGUUAAUGUGAUAAUUCAUUAGCAAGUAUGCAUA
rnacentral:misc_RNA from 1 species